rnacentral:rRNA from 1 species
ACGAACGCUGGCGGCGUGCUUAACACAUGCAAGUCGAACGGAAAGGCCCUGCUUUUGUGGGGUGCUCGAGUGGCGAACGGGUGAGUAACACGUGAGUAACCUGCCCUUGACUUUGGGAUAACUUCAGGAAACUGGGGCUAAUACCGGAUAGGAGCUCCUGCUGCAUGGUGGGGGUUGGAAAGUUUCGGCGGUUGGGGAUGGACUCGCGGCUUAUCAGCUUGUUGGUGGGGUAGUGGCUUACCAAGGCUUUGACGGGUAGCCGGCCUGAGAGGGUGACCGGCCACAUUGGGACUGAGAUACGGCCCAGACUCCUACGGGAGGCAGCAGUGGGGAAUAUUGCACAAUGGGCGGAAGCCUGAUGCAGCAACGCCGCGUGCGGGAUGACGGCCUUCGGGUUGUAAACCGCUUUCGCCUGUGACGAAGCGUGAGCGACGGUAAUGGGUAAAGAAGCACCGGCUAACUACGU